GUUAAAAUAGUUUAAUUAAAAUAUUAAUUUUGUAAAUUAAAGAUAAUUUUUAAUUUUUUAAUA
rnacentral:tRNA from 1 species